UACGUAGGGGGCAAGCGUUGUCCGGAAUCAUUGGGCGUAAAGAGCGUGUAGGCGGCCAGACAGGUCCGUUGUGAAAACUGGAGGCUUAACCUUCAGACGUCGAUGGAAACCGUCUGGCUAGAGUCCGGAAGAGGAGAGUGGAAUUCCUGGUGUAGCGGUGAAAUGCGCAGAUAUCAGGAAGAACACCCGUGGCUAAGGCGGCUCUCUAGUACGGUACUGACGCUGAGACGCGAAAGCGUGGGGAGCAAACAGG
rnacentral:rRNA from 1 species